CAAGGCUGCGGACUUUGCAAUCUAAGGAGGUGAAUAAAGACAGAGAAAAUCUAGGCAUGAACUCAUGGACAAGACAGUGAACAGCCUAUCUCGUAAUCAGAUAGCUGAAACAUUCUCAAUUGCCUGUGCUGGUUGAUUGUUGGCCCCAAUUGCUGCAGCUUUCCAACCACUAUAAUUGCCGCUUGGAUCACUCAUGUAUAGUUG
rnacentral:misc_RNA from 1 species